CCCGGGGGAGUGCUCGGAGAAAGGAGAGGAUCCCACUGGAUUCAGGGUGGUGGUGGGGGAGUAGAGCCCCGUGGAUUCCCGGGAGAAGAUCAGAUCCUGGUGGAUUCCCAGGGAAGAGGCUCAGAUCCCUGUGAGUAGGGGGUAGGAGCGGAGCAGGUGGAUUCCCGCCUGGAUCACUGACUGCGCUGCAGCUUAUCCCACCACUCUGCCUGUUCUUGCCCUGUCCGUGCUUUUCCCGGGAUCCCAGCUGAUCCCGAGGGACAGCUGCAGCCUGUGAGUCUGGCCGCCCGCCAGGGCCUGAUCCCGGUUAGGGAAAGGCACCCAAGGCACCUGUUUUGGGGUGCGGAAGGGAUGUGUUCCCCAGGAUCCCAGGGGGAUCUGCUCAGACCUCGCUGGGGGUUUCUCCACAGUGGGAUCCUGGGCGGGUGAGCGGCAGCAUGGAGCAUCUCGGCUGGGAUUCUGGGAAACGGGAGAUCAGGGGACAAAAUGGGGGAAAACCUCAGGUUUGGGUCAUCCUGCAGUCGCUCCUUCCACCCCAAACCGGUGCUGCUGCCGUUGCAUUCCCGGGCACGCUGGUCCUCCGCUGGGUCGGGGUUUCCUCCCAGCCCGGCGCAAUUCACCCUCUUCACUUGGUAUUUUUCCGGAAAGAGAAACCGGAAUAAAUCUUCGGAUCACCUCGUGGCGGUGGCCAUGAGAGGGAGCCUCAGAACUGCCCACGCCGGAGCUGCUCCGGGUGGUGUUGGACGGGAUUCCCUGGAGCUGGGCUGCUGCUCCCCGGGCCUGCCGCUGCUCUGAGUGCCGUCCCCAUGGACUGGGUUUUGGGGCUACUUCACGCGGGUUUGGGCCAUACAGGGAGAGCCUGUGGCAACACGGCUCCAGCGCUUUCUCCUCCCUGAUUUGGUGGCUGUGGAGCUGGGACGUGCUGCCAAGGAGCUGCCUGGGGCGCCGGCUCUGCUCCGGGAUGGAGGUCCGUCCCCUCGGCGGGUCGGCUCUCCAGUUCUGACAGUCCCUGCUCUCCACGGCAGCUCCGAGUGGCCGGUCCAGCGGAAGCUGCGGGAAUUCUUUGCCAUCCCGCGGUGCCUGGUCAGCGUGUUCAGCCUCUUCCUGGUGGAGCUGAUCCGCUUCCUUGGCGAGGCCGUGGUGCAGGCGCUGGUGGUCGGUGUCCUGACAGCCAUCGGCGACCACGUGCUGAAGCCGUUCCUGGCGGCGGCGUUCCACAGCCUCCUGCAGCCGCUCCUGCUCUUCCUGCUGAAGGUGCUGGGCGGCGUGCGGGACCUGACGGAGCCCGUGCUGGACGUGGUGGCCCGGGUAUGCUCGCAGCUGGCCGUGCUGCUCCGCGCCGUGCGGCUGGUGGAGAUCCGCCUGCGCCCCGACCUGCGCGCCGGCCCUGCCGACGGCGGCGCCUGAGGGCAGCCUCCGCCUGCCCAGAUAAGAUAAGGAGGAAGAAUUCCUGGGAAUUGCGGACGAGCGGGACCAGCUGCGGCCCAGGAGGCUCCGGAGGGACCGUGAUCUCCACGUUUAUCUCCACGUGUGUCCGGGCAGGGGCAGCACACGGCGUGCUGGGGGUUGGUUUGGAUCUUCUAGUUCUGCAAAUAUCUCCUUCACUUAAUUAAAUUCCAAUUUUAUCCAUUGGACCAUUGCUCCAGUGAGGUGUUUUUCCUCUUCCUGCCUGGAAAAGUCGGCUUUUCACUGAGUAGGACUUCCCUGUGCAGUCUCUUGCCACCAGAUGGGUUCCACUAGCUGUGGUGGUGCCCAGGGCCUGUGCCUCGGGCACUGCCGGGAGGGGAUGGCUUCUGCCAGCUUCCAGCUCUCUGGAAUGGUCUCCAGAGCCAGUGGUAUGGGACAGACUGGGAUUUGGGGGCGAUUGAAAAAUAGGGAUUACAAUAUAACGGAAUAACCACCUCUGUGUUCCUAACA
rnacentral:lncRNA from 1 species